AAGGCGGUUCGAAUGAGUAUAAAUUUGGAAUAUUUUCAAAAAAAAAUUUUUUUU
rnacentral:sRNA from 1 species